rnacentral:rRNA from 1 species
AUGCCGACGGUAAAUAUCAUGGAGGUCGGCCACGUGGUGGUGCCACAACCGAAGGACUUGGUAGUCAGGCUAUCCGCGCUGGACGCGCCGUGGGUGGCGAACCCGCUAAUCCAGCGCGUGCUCCUCUUCGUCCAUGACGCCGGCGGCCAGCAGCACCCGCCCUUCGAGUCGCUCGUGGGCUCCCUCCGCGCGUCCCUCGUGGCCACGCUCGCGCGGCUCCCCCCGCUCGCCGGGAGGGUCGUCUUCCUACCGUCCACCGGCGAUGCCGCCAUCGACUGCUCCGGCCCCGAGGGAGGCGGCGGCGUGCGGUUCGUGAUCGCGGAGAGCGACGACACGGACGUGCGGCGGCUAGCGGGGGACGCGGACCACGACGUGGACGCGUUCGAGGCGCUCGUCCCGGAGCUCAAGGUGGAGGCGCUCCCCGCGGAGGUGCUGGCCGUGCAGGUCACGCGGCUCAAAGGCGGGGUGGCGGUCGGCGUGGCUCUGCACCACGCCGUGGUCGACGGCCGGUCGGUGUGGAUGUUCCUGCAGGCAUGGGCCGCGGCCUGCCGCGGCGAUGAUGAUGCUGCCGUGGCUACCAUGACGUUUGACCGUGCGGUGGUCGCCAUCCCCGGCGGCGAGGAGCUGGCGAGGAGCACGCUGCGGAAGUAUGCGCCCAAUCUGCCGCUGGCCGCCAACAUGUUCCCUAGCGCCCCAAUUAAACUCCCUCGUCGGACGUUCACCAUCACCACAAAGCACAUCCAACACCUGAAGCAAUGCAUGUCUGGCCAAACGACCUCCGGGAAGCCCGCCACGGCACCCAUGCCAUCCAGCUUUGUGGCUAUCGCAGCGCUCGCCUGGGUGUCCUUCGUCCGUUCCAAGCACCCGACCGCCAUCGCCACCAGGCACAACGUCUACCUCUUCUUCUUCAUCGACUGUCGCGGGCGGCCUGGCAUUGACCCGCCUGUGAGUGAGAACUACUUCGGGACGUGCAUCACCGGGUGCCUCGUCAAGGCCAUGGCACGGGACCUUCUCGCGGUUGACGGUGUCGCAGUUGCCAUGGAGGUGAUUCAGCGGGAGGUGCAGCGAACAGCCGAGGACCCGCUCGGCCUUUGGGACUGGAUGGACAUUGUGUCAUGGGUGCCACUCGACCGGUUGGUGGGCAUCAACGGGUCCACACGGUUCAAGGCAUACGAGGUGACCGACUUCGGUUGGGGUGCACCGAGCAGGACGGAGGUGGUCACCAUGAGCGACGGGCGGGUGGUGCUGGUCGCCGCCAAAAACGGCGGAGUGCAGGCGUCCGUGUGCAUGCACCCGGAUCAUGCACGCUCAUUCAACUCUCACUUUCUUGAUUCUCUAGGUUGA